rnacentral:rRNA from 1 species
CUACGGGAGGCACCAGUGAGGAAUAUUGCACAAUGGGGGGAACCCUGAUGCAGCAACGCCGCGUGGAGGAUGACGCAUUUCGGUGUGUAAACUCCUUUUAUAUGUCAAGAAAAUGGCGGUAGCAUAUGAAUAAGCACCGGCUAACUCCGUGCCAGCAGCCGCGGUAAUACGGAGGGUGCAAGCGUUACUCGGAAUCACUGGGCGUAAAGGACGCGUAGGCGGGUUGGAAAGUCAGGUGUGAAAUCCUACAGCUUAACUGUAGAACUGCACUUGAAACUUCUAAUCUAGAGUAUGGGAGGGGGAGAUGGAAUUAGUGGUGUAGGGGUAAUAUCCGUAGAUAUCACUAGGAAUACCUAAAGCGAAGGCGAUCUCCUGGAACAUUACUGACGCUAAGGCGUGAAAGCGUGGGGAGCAAACAGGAUUAGAUACCCGGGUAGUC